AGUGUGUGUGUUAGUGGAAGCGUCUGGAAAGGCGUGCGAUACAGGGUGACAGCCCCGUACACAAAAAUGCACAUAUUGUGAGCUUGAUGAGUAGGGCGGGACACGUGGUAUCCUGUCUGAAUAUGGGGGGACCAUCCUCCAAGGCUAAAUACUCCUGACUGACCGAUAGUGAACCAGUACCGUGAGGGAAAGGCGAAAAGAACCCCGGCGAGGGGAGUGAAAAAGAACCUGAAACCGUGUACGUACAAGCAGUGGGAGCACGCUUAGGCGUGUGACUGCGUACCUUUUGUAUAAUGGGUCAGCGACUUAUAUUCUGUAGCAAGGUUAACCGAAUAGGGGAGCCGAAGGGAAACCGAGUCUUAACUGGGCGUUAAGUUGCAGGGUAUAGACCCGAAACCCGGUGAUCUAGCCAUGGGCAGGUUGAAGGUUGGGUAACACUAACUGGAGGACCGAACCGACUAAUGUUGAAAAAUUAGCGGAUGACUUGUGGCUGGGGGUGAAAGGCCAAUCAAACCGGGAGAUAGCUGGUUCUCCCCGAAAGCUAUUUAGGUAGCGCCUCGUGAAUUCAUCUCCGGGGGUAGAGCACUGUUUCGGCAAGGGGGUCAUCCCGACUUACCAACCCGAUGCAAACUGCGAAUACCGGAGAAUGUUAUCACGGGAGACACACGGCGGGUGCUAACGUCCGUCGUGAAGAGGGAAACAACCCAGACCGCCAGCUAAGGUCCCAAAGUCAUGGUUAAGUGGGAAACGAUGUGGGAAGGCCCAGACAGCCAGGAUGUUGGCUUAGAAGCAGCCAUCAUUUAAAGAAAGCGUAAUAGCUCACUGGUCGAGUCGGCCUGCGCGGAAGAUGUAACGGGGCUAAACCAU
rnacentral:rRNA from 1 species